GUGUAUGGUGGGUAGUUUGACUGGGGCGGUCUCCUCCUAAAGAGUAACGGAGGAGUACGAAGGUGCGCUCAGACCGGUCGGAAAUCGGUCGUAGAGUAUAAAGGCAAAAGCGCGCUUGACUGCGAGACAGACACGUCGAGCAGGUACGAAAGUAGGUCUUAGUGAUCCGGUGGUUCUGUAUGGAAGGGCCAUCGCUCAACGGAUAAAAGGUACUCCGGGGAUAACAGGCUGAUACCGCCCAAGAGUUCAUAUCGACGGCGGUGUUUGGCACCUCGAUGUCGGCUCAUCACAUCCUGGGGCUGAAGCCGGUCCCAAGGGUAUGGCUGUUCGCCAUUUAAAGUGGUACGCGAGCUGGGUUUAGAACGUCGUGAGACAGUUCGGUCCCUAUCUGCCGUGGACGUUUGAGAUUUGAGAGGGGCUGCUCCUAGUACGAGAGGACCGGAGUGGACGAACCUCUGGUGUUCCGGUUGUCACGCCAGUGGCAUUGCCGGGUAGCUAUGUUCGGAAAAGAUAACCGCUGAAAGCAUCUAAGCGGGAAACUUGCCUCAAGAUGAGAUCUCACUGGAGCCUUGAGCUCCCUGAAGGGCCGUCGAAGACUACGACGUUGAUAGGCAGGGUGUGUAAGCGCUGUGAGGCGUUGAGCUAACCUGUACUAAUUGCCCGUGAGGCUUGACCAUAUAACACCCAAGCA
rnacentral:rRNA from 1 species